CACUCCUACGGGAGGCAGCAGUGGGGAAUAUUGGACGAUGGGCGCAAGCCUGAUCCAGCCAUGCCGCGUGAGUGAUGAAGGCCCUAGGGUUGUAAAGCUCUUUCACCGGUGAAGAUAAUGACGGUAACCGGAGAAGAAGCCCCGGCUAACUUCGUGCCAGCAGCCGCGGUAAUACGAAGGGGGCUAGCGUUGUUCGGAUUUACUGGGCGUAAAGCGCACGUAGGCGGACUAUUAAGUCAGGGGUGAAAUCCCGGGGCUCAACCCCGGAACUGCCUUUGAUACUGGUAGUCUUGAGUUCGAGAGAGGUGAGUGGAAUUCCGAGUGUAGAGGUGAAAUUCGUAGAUAUUCGGAGGAACACCAGUGGCGAAGGCGGCUCACUGGCUCGAUACUGACGCUGAGGUGCGAAAGCGUGGGGAGCAAACAGGAUUAGAAACCCUGGUAGUCCCAU
rnacentral:rRNA from 1 species